UACAGAGGGUGCGAGCGUUAAUCGGAAUUACUGGGCGUAAAGCGUGCGUAGACGGCUAUCUAAGUCGGGUGUGAAAGCCCCGGGCUCAACCUGGGAAUUGCAUUCGAGACUGAAUAGCUAGGGUACGGUAGAGGGAAGUGGAAUUUCCGGUGUAGCGGUGAAAUGCGUAGAUAUCGGAAGGAACAUCAGUGGCGAAAGCGGCUUCCUGGACCAGUACCGACGUUCAGGCACGAAAGCGUGGGGAGCAAACAGG
rnacentral:rRNA from 1 species